UACGAAGGGGGCUAGCGUUACUCGGAAUUACUGGGCGUAAAGGGCGCGUAGGCGGCGUUCCAAGUUAGGCGUGAAAGUCCUGGGCUCAACCUGGGAACUGCGCUUAAGACUGGAGUGCUAGAGGCUGGAAGAGGGCCGUGGAAUUCCCAGUGUAGAGGUGAAAUUCGUAGAUAUUGGGAAGAACACCGGUGGCGAAGGCGGCGACCUGGUCCAUUACUGACGCUGAGGCGCGACAGCGUGGGGAGCAAACAGG
rnacentral:rRNA from 1 species